CUCCAGUGCAACAGUUGGCCACAGCAUGGCA
rnacentral:piRNA from 1 species